CAGCAGCCGCGGUAAUACGUAGGGCGCAAGCGUUAUCCGGAAUUAUUGGGCGUAAAGAGCUCGUAGGCGGUUUGUCGCGUCUGCCGUGAAAGUCCGGGGCUCAACCCCGGAUCUGCGGUGGGUACGGGCAGACUAGAGUGAUGUAGGGGAGACUGGAAUUCCUGGUGUAGCGGUGAAAUGCGCAGAUAUCAGGAGGAACACCGAUGGCGAAGGCAGGUCUCUGGGCAUUAACUGACGCUGAGGAGCGAAAGCAUGGGGAGCGAACAGGAUUAGAUACCCCAGUAGUCCCUGUCUCUUAUAC
rnacentral:rRNA from 1 species